rnacentral:lncRNA from 1 species
UGAAAAUAAGAUGAUUCCUCAAGUUUGAUACAAAAAUACAACCUUCAAAACAAUUACAAAUUGACUACAGAAUAUGUAAAAAGUUUAACCACGUUGGCUUGACAAUUGAACUAGCAAAAACCAAUAGUUUCAAUAGCAUGGAAUUUUCUAAGAGUCCAAGUGAGUCAACUCUAGAUUUUUAACAAUAUAUUUAUAUGUAGAGGGCCAAAUUUACAUGGGAAAAAAUGGAAUGAUGAAUGACAAAUAUAAAAGGAAGAUGAUGAAGCAACUUUAAAUAACAGAUCUAGGUUUUGAACUGGAGUUGCUUUCUCUUUACUGGAGCUGGGGCUCAAACUGGACAACAAUAUAAAAAGUUAACUCUUGUUGAAAUUCUUUAAACUGCGUAAUGGUAUAGACUGCUUGAAAUUGCUUUUCCAUCUCAAAACAUGUUGCACAAGGCACAAUUUGGGAAAAGGACUUAAAAUCGGCCUGGAACUCCUUGUCACUUCUCAAUGCUCGUUCGUAUUGUUCUACAAAUUACUUCAACGAGGUUUUUGAAUGCACGUAUCCAUAAAAAAAUGCAUUCAUACUCUCCGAACAUUAGGUUUGUUAACAUCCCUACCCAGAAUGUGGUCUUUAAAUAACAUGGAAGGUGACGAUCCCUAUUUUCGUACUCUCGAUAACCAAUUACUAUCAUGCAAGUCAUAUGUGUCAAGCAUCGAUCUCCAACCUUGUUUGAAUUCUUCAACAAUAUCUGAAUCAAAUACCAAUCUAUGUAUAGCAGCGAAAAUCAAGCUUUCUUAAGUGUGGUAGCCAAAAUUUUCUGCCAGUUUCUUUAUAAUGUGCCACAAACACCAUCUGUACUUUGCUGUAGGAAAAACAAUCUCAAUGGCAUUUUACAUUGCCCGAUCUUGAUCAGUAAUGAUUCUACUAGGAGCUUUACCAUGCAUGCACUCAAGCCACGUCCUGAAUAACCACACAAAAGUCCCUAUGUCCUCAUUCGAUAACAACCCACAGUCGAGCAGUGUACUUUGUCCAUGAUGAUUUACCCCAAGAAAGAGGGCAAAGGGCAUGUCGUACUUGUUUGUGAGGUACGUAGUAUCCGAAGUGACAACAUCAUCGAAUUCUUUGUAAGCUUGUCUGCAUCUAUUAUCUGCCCAAAAAAUAUUCUUUAGUCGUGACUCAUCGUCUAAAUCCAUACUAAAGAAAAAUCUUGAGCACUGUGCCUGUAUUUUUGAAAAGUAUGCAUGUCACGCGAUGGCAUCUCCUUCUCCAACGCAUAAUCGUCUCACUUCUUCAACAUAAUUUCGGCAAUCCCUCUCCACAAAAGUCGUAUUCUCAUAUCCACCAACUUUCACAACUGAUUGUAACUCUUGUGUAAGGGAAUUCCUGCCAUAUCAUUCACUUCGAGUUUUCGCCUCACGCUCGCACUUAAACUUUGGUUGCAUCGGUACAAUCUAGACUUCGAAGGACUCGUGUUAUGAUUAUGCUUGAGGUACACUUUGUUAAUUCUCCAAAUUCCAAGAUUAUCUGACGAUGUGGUUAUUCUUGCUUUACAAUCUGUCUGACUUGUUGGUUUCAUGGAACCGCCUGUAGCAUAAUUUCUUCGACCUUCACGACUACAUGUGAACGUCACAUAUCUCACAACUCCAUCGUCACUCUUUUUUGAAUUCCUUUUUCGAAUUGGAAAAGCCUACCGUGUAAGUAUAUCUUUUAUAGAACUCCAAUAUUUGUCUCUCAUCAUUAAACAUCAUGCCCACUUCAGGCAGAGUCGCAACAUCUCCUCCUAUGUUCUCAUUGCCCAAUAUGUUCAAAUUAUCCCGCAUAUUCUCGUCAUUACAAUCGACCAACAAAUCAUGAUUGUCAUCUUCCAUUAUUUCUUUUCUUGAGUAGCGUAAAAAAUGAGAGAUGUAUAAGUUAGUAGUGCUCGUUAACAUCAUAACUGUACAUAUUUAUGUACAGAAAACAACAAAGAUAUAUGCAUGGAGACAAUCAAAAUUGCAAUUUCCAGUGCAGCCAAAUGAAUAUCAAAACAAAGCCAAUUCUGUGGAAUUUAAUUUUAAGCCCAAUAUUUGGAGCACCCUAAUUUUCCAACACAGACUAUGUACAAAAGACAAUUAAAACAGAUCAUUCACAAAAGAAGUUAGAACCUUAAACAAAACUCAACAUACAGCAUGCAAAACUGAACACAAGUUUAAGCUAACCCUCCUCCAUUACUGCCCGGUCAAUUGCUUACCCACCCAAUAAACAAAAUAGCAACCAUUACAAUGGCAAAGCACAAACGAGAACAAUUUAUGUAAGCAAGACUUAUACUUUAUGCUCAAGAAGAAAUCCAAAAAAACGAAGAUGCAAAAAUGAAGCGAGUAAUAAAAUGCGAAUAUUUUUUGGCAGCCAUGAAUGAGGGUUAGGACAGCCAUGAAUGAGGUGCUUUUAUGUGUGUGGAGACACAGACAAGCUAAGA